rnacentral:lncRNA from 1 species
CAGAGCCACUCUGCUCCCUGCCAGACUUCUAUAAGCUUCUGGGCAGACUCGGCAGGCUCUCUAUUGCUGCAUGGAGACAAGGGCAAAGUUUGCAAGCCACCAGAGUGGUGACAAGACAGUGGAGUUGGAGUACUAAUGAAAGGGACAGCCAGCAGGCUCAGCACCUCUUCUGGGCUUUCAAAACAAGUCCACAGAGUUCUUUCUCUACAGUGCAGUUCCCACAUUUGUUUGAUGUUUAACUUUGGCAGCAUUUAUAUGCCAUGAAGCUGGAUGGGAGAACUAGAAGGCUGUUCUUGCAAGGUUGAAGUUGGGACUGAAUAGGGCUGGAGGGUGAGGAAGAAAAACUUCGGAGAACUCUGCUUCUGGCUGGAAGUUAUCUUUAUUUGCUUCUGGAUAGUACUAAAAAGAACCUGGACUAACCAGCAUCAACUCCUGGAAGGCUCAAGUUCAAGACCUGCCUUUGGUGAAGGAAUAUUGAAGGUGGAAUGACCCUGUGAGCUGUGAAAGAGUUGAUGAACAUCCUAAAGUCAAAUAAUGGAAGUCCAUGGCAGUGACUGCCAUAGCAAUCACACCUUAGCCAGAUGGCACUGCAGGAUGAAAGUUGCAGUAAUGUUUGACUUACGGAGAAAACGGAGGACCAGGAUAUCCAACAGUCAAGAUGUGGCUGAGUCUAGCCAGAAAUUGUCUUGUUUUUGUCCCUCAUAAAUCUAUCUUAAGCUUUAAUUAAUUUACCUGUUAAGCGUGGGUGCAACUAUGCAAGUUUAAUGCUAUAAAAAUUAUUUAAUCCAUUUCUGAGCAUAGAAAUAUUUGUACUUUAGAGAAAGAAAUAUAAUUUCAUAUUUUGGUGACUUCAGGGAAGGAAGAUAGAAGGGAGAAAGGAAAAGACCAAAGAUAAAUAUGUUGUUCAGUCUUAUCAAACUCUUUGUGACCCCAUUUGGGAUUUUCUUGUUAAAGAGACUAGGAUGAUUUGCUAUUUCCUUUUGCAGCUCAUUUUACAGUAGAGGAAUGAAGAUAAACAGGGUUAAGUGACUUGCCCAAGGUAACAUAGCUAGGAAGUGUUUGAGGCUGGAUUUGAAUGCAAGAUGAGCCAUCCUAACUGCAGGCCCAGCUUUCUAACCACUGUAUUACCUAGAUGCCCUAAAGGUGAACUUGGCUUGUUUCAAAAUUGUGCCUCUGAAUUCAUCUAUUGAAGUGGGAAAAAAAGUCUCUUCCUCUUUCUCAGCUCUAGAUCUGGAGGUGGAAAGAAGUCCAAAACACUCAUUUCAGAGAUGAGGAAACCAAGGUCCAGGGAAAUGAUAUAAGUUGCCUAGUGUCACACAUCUGGUAAGUGCCAGAAGUGGAAUUUGAAAGCAAGCCAUUGUACUUUGAAGCCAAUGUUCUUUCCGUUAUCAUUAUGCUGUCUCCCUUCUCCAUCCCUCAUGUUGAAAUCCAGAACCCAGGCCAGAUUAGAAGUGACUUAAAGCUGGAAGGACCAUUAAGUGUAGCAGAGCUGAGACAAGAACCUGGGUUAACUGUUUCCCAGUCUAGUUCUAUUUCAAUCAUAUGUUUAAUAUAAUGAACAUUUA